GAGUUGGGCCUCCUGGCGUUUGGAUUGGAGACUGUGUUCUCUUCGCGGUUUUCGUUAAGGAGCAGCUAGGAUGGAGUCGGCCUGAAGGGUUUCGCUCUCACGCCGGCAGGAGUCGCCCAGCAAGAUUUGAAAGGAGGAGAAAGGCCUGCUGAACAGGAUGCCAAAGCCUGGCAGUGACCACUUGAGGACCCCUGGGCAUUAAAUAAACUUCUUGGGGCCCGUUUCGUUAUUA